rnacentral:rRNA from 1 species
AGAGUUUGAUCCUGGCUCAGGAUGAACGCUAGCUACAGGCUUAACACAUGCAAGUCGAGGGGCAGCAUGAACUUAGCUUGCUAAGUUUGAUGGCGACCGGCGCACGGGUGAGUAACACGUAUCCAACCUGCCGAUGACUCGGGGAUAGCCUUUCGAAAGAAAGAUUAAUACCCGAUGGCAUAGCUCUUCCGCAUGGUAGAACUAUUAAAGAAUUUCGGUCAUCGAUGGGGAUGCGUUCCAUUAGGUUGUUGGCGGGGUAACGGCCACCAAGCCUUCGAUGGAUAGGGGUUCUGAGAGGAAGGUCCCCCANAUUGGAACUGAGACACGGUCCAAACUCCUACAGGAGGCA